AAAGUUUGGAUACAAAAAUUGCUGAAUUUCAACUUUUAUAAUAAAAUUUUACAAAUACAGUGUAAAAAAAAAAUCAUAUAUCUAGCUGACUUAUUUUUUUUUAGAGCGAUUCUCCGAUACACCACUUUAAUCAUAUCCGUUAAUUUACUACAGUAAACAGCUAUGAUUUAGUAAGGUAAAGCCGCUGACCGGCUAUUAGGGCUGGCAAAUGAGCGAGCUGGCUCGUGUUCGACUCGCGUUCGGCUCGAUAUUCGGCUCGCUCGAGCUCGGCUCGAAUUAAUUUCAAGUCGAGCUUGAGCCUAAAUUUAGGCUCGAAAUUAAUUUCAAGCCAAGCUUGAGUAUUACCGAGCUCGCUCGAAUUAGGCUUGAAAAGCUCGAAAUAUAUAUAUAUACAUAUAUAUAUAUAGAAAAAGUCUACUAUAUUAUUAAUAGUACCAACCACUUGCUAUUAGAUUUUCGGCCUUGGAUGAAGGGAUGUGCGGUUAGAAUGAUAGUGAUUCCCAAGAGUUGAGUGGGUGGUUAGUUGAAUAGUAUGAUCUAUUGAGUGAAACUGGUCAAACGGAUAGAUCUAACGGCAAAAAAUUCGACAGCACUAAGCAUUUGGUAUUAUUGAUAAUAUAGUAGCCGGACUCUCUCUCUAUAUAUAUAGUUCGGCUAUUAUACUAUCUAUAGUAUCAAUUAUUUUGUGCUAUUGAGUUUUCUGCCGUUAGAUCUACCUAUACAUAUAGAGUCCGGCUACUAUACUAUUGAUAAUACUAAGCAUUUAAUGCUAUCGAGUUUUCUGCAAUUAGAUCUACCCCCUUUGGCCAUUUUCAUCCGUUAAAUCAUACUAUUCAAUUAUCCACCUCCUCAACCUUAGGGGGCUCCUAUCAUCCUGACCACACAUCCAUUCA
rnacentral:lncRNA from 1 species